rnacentral:lncRNA from 1 species
CUGCCAGAGGAGGGUUGGGAAGAAGACACUGCCUGAGUUACUCACGCUGUAACAUGAAACUUUGUUUUCCAAUUCAGAGUUAAUUCAGGAAGCAACAGAAAAGCAUGCUAUUAUCUUUUUAAGUACAUUCAAGAGAAGCCCUGCACACAAGGGUAUGUGUUCAUAUUCCUCAUGCUGGUAUAUAUGCUAUCCGCAAAACUUCAUGUCAACCAGCCAUUUGAUACCCUCCAAACACCUUGGAGAGUCAAGACAUCUUUAUUUGCUUAGAAAGGAUAUGGGAAAAUACACCAACCCCUGUACUGAGAAUUUACCAUCUACCAGGUAUGCUAUAUAAUUUCAAUAUCUGUCUUAUUUAAUUAA